rnacentral:rRNA from 1 species
AUUGAACGCUGGCGGCAUGCCUUACACAUGCAAGUCGAACGGCAGCACGGGAGCAAUCCUGGUGGCGAGUGGCGAACGGGUGAGUAAUACAUCGGAACGUGCCCAAUCGUGGGGGAUAACGCAGCGAAAGCUGUGCUAAUACCGCAUACGAUCUACGGAUGAAAGCAGGGGACCGCAAGGCCUUGCGCGAAUGGAGCGGCCGAUGGCAGAUUAGGUAGUUGGUGGGGUAAAGGCUCACCAAGCCAACGAUCUGUAGCUGGUCUGAGAGGACGACCAGCCACACUGGGACUGAGACACGGCCCAGACUCCUACGGGAGGCAGCAGUGGGGAAUUUUGGACAAUGGGCGCAAGCCUGAUCCAGCCAUGCCGCGUGCAGGAUGAAGGUCUUCGGGUUGUAAACUGCUUUUGUACGGAACGAAACGGCCUUUUCUAAUAAAGAGGGCUAAUGACGGUACCGUAAGAAUAAGCACCGGCUAACUACGUG